rnacentral:rRNA from 1 species
AUGGGCGAGCUGCACUCGCAAGGCAAAACGAUCGACGAGAUCGCGGGCAGCAUCAGGACGGCGCCUCUGUCCCAUCACGUCGUGGCGGCCAUCAAGGCCGCACAGGCUCUCGGCUGCGAGCUGCGGAUCCUCAGCGACGCCAACGCGUUUUUCAUCGACACGGUCCUUGCGCACCACGGCCUGGCCGGCUACUUCUCGGAGAUCAGCACCAACCCGGCCAGCGUCGACGCCGGCGGCCGCCUCGGGAUCACCCCGCACCACGACUUCCGUCAUGGCUCCUGCAGCAGCCACGGCUGCACCCUCGCCACCUGCCCUCCCAACAUGUGCAAGGGCAAGGUGAUGGAGGGGAUGCUGCAAGAACUGUCGGCGGCGGCGGCGGCGGCAGGGAUGAGGAGGCCGAGUAGAGUGGUGUACCUUGGCGACGGUAGGGGCGACUACUGUCCCACCCUAAAGCUGGCCGAGCGGGACUACAUGAUGCCCAGGAAGGGCUACCCCGUGUGGGACCUCAUCGCCGGCGACCGGCGGGCCGUCCGCGCAGACGUGCACGGAUGGGCCGACUUCAAGGACCUGGAGACGGUGCUGCUUGACAUCAUACACGAAUGCGCCGCGGCCGCCAUGAUGGAACAAGACGGCGGCGAUCAGGCGGUGGUGGGCAUGGUGGUGCCAGAGUGCCGUGCCCUUUCGGCUCCCAAGAUGGCGAUGGCAGUUCUCCCCAAAGCAAUUCAUGCGCCCAACUGA